GAUGAACGCUAGCGGGAGGCCUAACACAUGCAAGCCGAGCGGUAUUUGUUCUUCGGAACAGAGAGAGCGGCGCACGGGUGCGGAACACGUGUGCAACCUGCCUUUAUCUGGGGGAUAGCCUUUCGAAAGGAAGAUUAAUACCCCAUAAUAUAUUGAGUGGCAUCACUUGAUAUUGAAAACUCCGGUGGAUAGAGAUGGGCACGCGCAAGAUUAGAUAGUUGGUGAGGUAACGGCUCACCAAGUCAAUGAUCUUUAGGGGGCCUGAGAGGGUGAUCCCCCACACUGGUACUGAGACACGGACCAGACUCCUACGGGAGGCAGCAGCGAGGAAUAUUGAACAAUGGGUUAGCGCCUGAUCCAGCCAUCCCGCGUGAAGGACGACGGCCCUAUGGGUUGUAAACUUCUUUUGUAUAGGGAUAAACCUACUCUCGUGAGAGUAGCUGAAGGUACUAUACGAAUAAGCACCGGCUAACUCCGUG
rnacentral:rRNA from 1 species